GAUGAACGCUGGCGGCGUGACUAAUACAUGCAAGUCGAGCGAACAGAUAAGGAGCUUGCUCCUUUGACGUUAGCGGCGGACGGGUGAGUUACACGUGGAUAACCUACCUAUAAGACUGGGAUAACUUCGGGAAACCGGAGCUAAUACCGGAUAACAUAUUGAACCGCAUGGUUCAAUAGUGAAAGGCGGCUUUGCUGUCACUUAUAGAUGGAUCCGCGCCGUAUUAGCUAGUUGGUAAGGUAACGGCUUACCAAGGCAACGAUACGUAGCCGACCUGAGAGGGUGAUCGGCCACGCUGGAACUGAGACACGGUCCAGACUCCUACGGGAGGCAGCAGUAGGGAAUCUUCCGCAAUGGGCGAAAGCCUGACGGAGCAACGCCGCGUGAGUGAUGAAGGUCUUCGGAUCGUAAAACUCUGUUAUCAGGGAAGAACAAAUGUGUAAGUAACUGUGCACAUCUUGACGGUACCUGAUCAGAAAGCCACGGCUAACUACGUG
rnacentral:rRNA from 1 species